AAAUUAAAAAUGUAUAUGUGCAUUGUAGGAUAUCCUUCAAUAUUUAUUGUAUGAUAUAUUAUAAUUAUACAAGGAAAAAUAUAUUUAAAAGGGCGUGGUUUAAAUUUUCUAAGAAUUUGAUUUUGUGGCACGGAAUUGUGGGAUAUAGAUGGCGAUAUCUUCAUGACUGAAACGUGCUAGUGGUAUAAAUGUGUGCUUGUUAACACUUUAAGAACGUUAAAUAAUCGCAUCAAAUAUGGGGGACAGCGAAGAUGAAUAUGAUAGGAAGCGCCGUGAUAAGUUUCGUGGAGAGAGAACCGAGUCUUACCAGAGAGGCGAGGGCCGUCGAGGCGGAGCUGCUGAAGAGAGGCGGCGGGAAGAAUGGAUAGAAAGAGAAUCAUGGGGUAGUCGCAAUCGUGCGAGGGCAGAUUACCGUGAAUAUCGUGGUGGUGGUGGCAGGGAGCGGUAUAGCCCUGCCAGAACUCAUGAUAUCUCACCACCAAUGAAGAGGGUGCGGACAGAGUGGGACGAACGGAGGAGUGCUGGCUAUGGGCAUGACAGUACUGCUGUAGGGUAUGGGAGCUAUGCUAGUUCAUGGCCCCAUGACAGCUAUAGCUCUCAGCAUGCUUAUGGGAACCAUGGUAAUAAUCAAAGGGAAAUUCAGACGACAGAAACGCAGCCACCUAUGAUGUCAUUCAAAGCAUAUCUGCAGACACAAGAUGACAACAUAACAGAUGAUGAGGCAAUCAAGAAAUAUAAUGAGUAUAAGUUGGAGUUCAAGAGGCAACAACUGAAUGAGUUCUUUGUAACUCACAAGGAAGAGGAGUGGUUCAAAAUAAAAUACCAUCCAGAAGACUCCGUGAAGAGGAGAGAGGAGCAGAUGGCAGCUCUUAAGAAUCGUGUUAAGGUAUUUAUAGAAUUUAUGGAGCAGAGUCGUCUGGGUACGGUAUCAGUGGAUGCAGAUCAGUCGGAACAGUUGAUCCGGUUGCUAGAUGCCGUCGUCAUACGGCUCGAAGGCGGAACAGAUUAUGACUUGCUGGCAUUGGAUGAACCCCGACCAGUGGGGUCUGGUUCAGGCCAGGGAUCUGCUGGAGUUGGGGCAAAUCAGACUUCAAAGCCCAGCAGUGCAACUGCAGGAGGUCAGACAGCAGAAAAGCAGGGCUCUGGAGACAGUGACGUCAAGCCAGGGAGUGUCAAGGAAGAGGAAGACGAAUCUAAACCAUUCAUACUUGGUGAAGAUGAGGACACAAAGAAAAAGGAACGUGACAAGACUACAGAACCUUUAGAAUUGAAGAAGGACCCGUCACAGCCUCUUAAAUUGAUAAUCAGCUCGGAGCAGGUUGAGCUACAGAAGAAGGCCAAAGAGUUUCUCAAGCAGAAGUCUGCAGAGGAAGAGGAUGGGCCUAGUCAAGUCAAGAAACGCAAAAGAGAAUAUGAAUAUGAGAGCGGAAGUGAGAGUGGGGAUGAACCGGCUGCCCCUGGUGAUAAUAAUGAUAUGGAAGAGGAUGAACCUCCUCCUCCUGGAUUGGAGGAAGGAAAAGGAGGUGAUGACAGCUUUGCAGAAGAUGAGGUCAAGAAGAAACACAUGGAAGUGGAUGCAAAUGAUGACAAGGAAGAGGAAGAUGAAAUUGCAAAGAAAGAAGAGAAAUCUGAUGAUGACCCCGAAGAUAGCUCAGAUAAAGAAGACAAGGAUAAAUCAGAGAAGAAUGUUGUAAAGGAUGGCAAGAUGGAUAGUGGGGAUGACGCUGAAGAAGGUGAUGAAUCAGAAAGGGAGCAUAAAAAGAAAAGAAACAGCAGUGAAGAGGCGGUUAAACCACGGCCGCUUCACAAGACUGCCUCGAUUUUCCUGAGAAAUCUUGCGCCAACUAUCACCAAACAAGAAGUUGAAGCGAUGUGCAAGCGUUAUCCAGGGUUCCUUCGAGUUGCCAUAGCUGAUCCCCAGCCUGAAAGAAGGUGGUUCAGAAGAGGCUGGGUUACAUUUGAAAGACAAGUGAACAUCAAAGAGAUCUGUUGGAACCUUAAUAACAUACGUCUGCGGGAUUGUGAAUUAGGUGCCAUCGUGAAUAGAGACCUCAGUCGGCGCAUCAGGACAGUUAAUGGUAUUACAUCACAUCGACAGGUUGUUAGACAUGACAUUAAACUGUCAGCACGCAUUGUUCAUAAUUUGGAUGCUAAAGCAGGACUUUGGGUAGAUCCUGAUUCACCAGAAGGAAAGGGUGAUCUGGCACCAGGAGACUCUAAGAAGGCGAAGGAAAAGGAGCCAGAUCAGUUGUCAUUGCCAAGCUUUGGGCUUGUGUCAAAGAAUCCAGUAUUGAAGAACAUCACCGACUAUUUGAUUGAAGAGGCUUCUGCUGAAGAAGAGGAACUUUUGGGACAUACCGCUGAUCAAGAGGAGGGGCAGCUCGGUGAUGAUACAGCCAGUGUCGAGAGAGAUGAAGCACUUAUUAAGGUGUUGGAUCGCUUACUGUUUUAUCUGCGUGUUGUCCAUUCUGUGGACUAUUAUAAUCACUGUGAAUAUCCGAAUGAAGAUGAGAUGCCAAAUCGAUGUGGCAUCAUGCAUGCACGAGGUAUUCCACCGUCAUCAAAAUUACAGGUAGCUCAGCAGGAGAUCAGCGAUUAUUGCCGUACUUUUGAGCAGAAAAUUGCUUCAUUCUUGCAACCAGUAACAAAGAUCACAGAUGAAGAAUACAGCAAGCUAGGUCACAAAGACCCUGAUGUUGAGGUGGAGAAAUUCAUUCAGGCAAAUACACAGGAAUUGGCUAAAGACAAAUGGUUAUGUCCACUGUCAGGAAAGAAGUUCAAAGGCCCUGAAUUUGUACGCAAGCACAUAUUCAACAAGCAUGGAGAGAAAGUUGAUGAAGUUAAGAAAGAGGUUGAAUACUUUAACAACUAUCUGCGAGACCCGAAACGACCCCAGUUGGCCGAACAUCCUGGUAAUCGUCAACAAAGGAAAGAGGGGACGAGUGAACGGGAAGGCUUCUCAGCUCCUUCGCCGUAUGUGCCUCAUUAUCAGUACAGUUACGGUGGACGACAUGCAGCAUACGGUGGUCAUAACUAUGGUGGUGGUUAUGGUUACAAUGCAGGCUACAACCAGGGGUACUCUCGUCCUAGUCGAGGCAGCUUUAACAGGGGCAGGUCUUCGACACAUGAUUCUGCCAAUCGUCCAAUUGUAGCUUAUAGUGAUCUAGAUGUCCCAGAUAUUGCAGAAAUGUUCUGACAUUACGAAGUUAUGAUGUUACUGUAGAAAAUGCAUAAGUAAAACUUGUUUAGAUUAAUUUUGUGUGCCAUGUCUCCCCAGGUUUUCAUGCACGUGUUAUCAUGUAUCGCUUUUACAUUUUAACAUCAGUCACAGUCCUCAGAAAUUUAUUUUAUAACCCAGAGUUGAAAGUUAAUCUAAACAACUCCCAGCAUUCGAGAAGGAACCCACAACUUAAUAGAUACAGGUUGUACUACUGAUCAUCUCAUCAUCAGGACAUACAAUGUUGUCACGCGGUGGCCAGAUUUUUUUGUAUGCCAUCGUCAUAUAUGCACUGAAUGUAGUUCCAUGAACCAGAAAAAUUGACUUCCUGGACCACCUAAACGGCAUUCACAAGCAACAUCCAAUUCACCAUGGAGACAGAUGGACACCUCCCCUUCCUAGGGGUGGUGCUGAUUAUCGGCCAGUAAUUCACUACCGGGAUUUGGAUGCACCGAGAGAACCAGAGGAGUUUAUCUGAGUUCCUUGACAAUCAUCAUUAUGCGUGUGCAAAACUUUAAUUACUUCAGGGUCACUUGGUUAAUGUCAUACUGUACAAUGUGGUAGUUAGUGUUCCAGUAAGUGAAUAUGGACAAGUUGUGAUUGACGUCUCCAUUUUCAGUUAAAACUUUCUUUGAAACUUUGAAGAUUGAAUUUCUUCCAGUGAACUUUAUAUUGUUAAAACACUUACCAUAGCCCCUCUGAUGCAUAAACAUAGAAUUCAUGAAAUGAGAAAAUAUUAUAAAACCAAACAUCUUACUGCACUCAGGGAAAUUUUAGUCUAAAUCAGUGGGUAUGCUUGUUGGUAACAGGCAUACACUGGAUCACUAAAUUCCGCUGCAAUCGAACAUAUACUAAAAAAUGUGUGUUAGUUCCAAAUCACAUAUUGAAGUCUUCAGUCAUUUUGUUGGCUGUGGUAUGAGUACAAAUACUAAUUUGCUUUUGUUUCGGGAAACAUUUUAGUGUUGCAGUUGGGAGAAUGUUAGUGCAAGUAAAUCUUCCAGAUAUUAUUGGAAUUGUAAUAAAUGUAGGAACAGUGACUUUUGGAACAUAUGACACCAGUUUAUAAUUGUAAGGCUGAGAAUGUUGGUACCAGAGGUACAAUUCGGGCUUUCAUUCGCCACAUCUGAAUUUAGUCAAAAGUUCAGUAACGUGGACUGUGAGGAUCUGAUUUGCAGCAGGGUUACCACAUCCAGACCUGACAGAACUUGGAGGUGACUAUAAAGAAUGCAUGGUGCUUACUUCCACUCCCACAUACAUUUUACAUUAUAAUGCUUAAGCACUGAGACAGCUCUGCCUUUUUACUGUUUUGUACAAUUCACGUGACUAUAAAACUCAUAAGGCUUGUUUAUAAAUAUUUGGUUUUCACUGGAAAACACAAUGGUAAGACAUGAUUUUGUGACAGUAGAAACUUUUAAUUCCCCUCGGACAAAACAUUCUAAGACAUUCUGUUAAAUGGCAGAAGCUACAAGGACAGUCUUAUUACAGAAAUGUUUUUAAUUCUGCAAUAAUGCACAAAUAAAACAUUGUUGAAAGGCCAGUGUACAUACAGGUAUGUUGCUUAGAGCAACAUAGAUACCAUUUAUUUCAUACAGUUUUAAUUAGUUUUGUUGUGUUAUAAAUAAGUAUAUUCAUUCAAGAUUUAUGAACACUUUCAAAAAGAUAUAAAGCAAGCUCUGAACAUUUAUAACUGCUAAUCACUUCAGAAUUUUCUGUGUCAUUAUUCUGCAGACAUUUACCUCAAUUUCUGUUGGUAAGACAAGGGAACUGUGGAAUGAACAUAAGCAGACUAUGUGGUAACUUUGCGUGCGGUAAUAUAAUAAAUCAUUUUAUGGUGCUUUCCUCGUCACAGGUUAAUGUUCUGUCAAUGUAUGUUCCAUGUAGAUUUUCAAGUCGCAUGGUAAUUAGUGUCUAACAUGUUCAUAUCUACCACCACCAACCUCUCCUCUUAGGUAUGUUUGCAGCCCAGCAGAAUGUCUAUUAAAAUCACUUAAUCUGUUCAGUCAUUAAGUUUUAAGUUUAUAAUUAUCCUGUAUUGAUUAUGUAUUGUUUUAGGUGUAGCAAAUUUGUGAUUUUAGGGUAUAGUUUGUAAAAAAAACAUGUUAUCGCUGUAACAUGCAGUGUAACGCUGGCACAUAUCGAUUGAUUCACUAUAACAUUAAUUUAAUGCUAAUACACAGGCAUUACUCCAAAUGUUAAUGGCGAAGAUUGGAAUAUAAAUUAUUAUUUAUAGUCUGGUUGUAACACAUUGUUUUCACAGAAAUUUUGUACCUGGCUGAAUAUUUUGGAAUAGUUUUUCUGUAUGUCAGGUAUUAUUUACUAUGUGCUUCCUUCUAUUUCUUUUUUAGUUUAUGGUCAUUAAUUAUCCUGUUAUUCAGUGCUACAGAUUCUUAAGCUACUAACAGUGUUUUAAAAUAAACCACAAAUAAAUUAAUAUAGUCUGAUGUGUGACUUCUGAUAGAGACAAAAGAUGUUUAUGAUACACUAACAUACACAUUGGCUGUAAACAAUUUCAGAUCACUAAUUGUGCCACAAUAUUGCGCUCUUUUCUAUAUUUUACCGCUGACUGGAGCUGAUACCUGAAUGAUGAAAUUAGUUAGAAACCAUGAAUUUUACAAUUGUUCCAAGUAUCAACAUUCUUUCCCAGAAUACAUUACUUUUAUGUGACAGAUGGCUUUCCGAUGCAUAAUAGUAGAAGCCUCUGCAUUUCGGCGUUCUUUUUACUGUCCUACACAGUCAUGCUGUUAUUGUAACGCAGCAUGGUACAGUGGUUAUGGAACAGCUCUGCAGAUUUUCCUGUAGAAGGGAUUCCAUUAUUAUAGAAUGUUAUACCAGAGCAUAAGUUGUACAGUCGUGAGUAUGAUGUGAUGAGGCGUCAUACAUGGGCUGGGUGCGAAGUCCAUGUGACCAAUUAAGACACAGGAAAUGCAGUUCUGAGUCGAGGUCUUGAUGAUUGAAAACUGUCUUUGCUGGUCAGCAAAAAAAGCAGGGCCCAGUAACAGACAUCCUCUGGGUGGCAGUUUGUCCAUCAACUCAGAAAACUCUAUAGCGACCAAAACAAUUGAAUAGGAAGUCUUAAAACUAGUGAUACAAUCCAUGAUGUAUAUUUGUAUGGCAUUAGUUUUGGUGGUUCUGUUACAACCUUCAGGAGUUGUGGAUGGGGUUCAGAAGUGGUUUGUUUUAAGCCUUAAACCAUUUUCAUAUUUCAGUUCAACUUUAACUUAUCAAAAUUACUUAUCCUGAAUGCAUUAUAAAAACAGUCAUUCCACUUAUUAAGUGCAUCUUGUUAAUACAGUGUUGCAGCACUAAUAAGUGUGUACGUGUUUGCUUUACCAUGCACCAAGUUCUAAAUGUCACUGUUUCUCCAACUGCAUUAAAGUUUAAUCCAUUACAUUUCACUUUGAAGCUCAUUCAAACAGUCCAUGUGGAAGUGUCCUCAGUGGGCAUAUCAGUCAGUAGAUGUAAGUAUUUCAGAAAUUUUGUAACUACCAAAUGAGCAUACAUAUAAAAUUAAUGAAGAAAUUCAGCAGGGAA